UUUGAGUAGGUGAAAUUUGCUUUGAUUGAGUGCAGGUGCGGAUUUUUCUCGAAAUUAAAAUUCUGGAGCAGAUACGAGUUUAGGAGAAGGUGAUAUUCACCCCACAUCUGUCUCGCAAGUAAUACUAUUAUAAUUUUUAAAUUUUAUAUACAUAUACAUAUUGAAUAUACCUAAUAUUUUUUUAAAUAUUAAAAAUUAUAAUCUUAUCUCUAUGAAAAAUAUUUGUUAAUUUUAUUAUUGUCUAAUAAUAAUUAUUUUAUUAUAUUAAUUAUAAUAUAUAUGAUUUUUAAAUUUAUAAUUGUAUAUAUAUGUAUGAGUACAUGUGCAGACGAAAAUAUACGAACCCCGAUGAAGACGGAGAUGAUGCCUAAAUUUCACACUCGCCAUGAAAGAGAGACGGGUGCGAGUUUUCCCCGAUUAGUCGAAUGCAGAGUGGAGGAGGCAAAAUCCGUCUCCGCCCCGACUAGUUGCUAUGCCUACUCAUGAAUGAGAAUGCUUACCCUUACGUAUUGUACAUUUAGUAAUUAAUUUACGAUUCUAUCUUACUUCCUUUUGUUUUAAAUAUAAACAAUAAAAAAGUCAUUGUAUC
rnacentral:lncRNA from 1 species